rnacentral:rRNA from 1 species
ACGCACGCUGGCGGCGUGCUUAACACAUGCCAGUCGAACGGAAAGGCCCUGCUUUUGUGGGGUGCUCGAGUGGCGAACGGGUGAGUAACGCGGGAGUAACCUGCCCUUGACUUUGGGAUAACUUCAGGAAACUGGGGCUAAUACCGGAUAGGAGCUCCUGCUGCAUGGUGGGGGUUGGAAAGUUUCGGCGGUUGGGGAUGGACUCGCGGCGUAUCAGCUUGUUGGUGGGGUAGUGGCUUACCAAGGCUUUGACGGGUAGCCGGCCUGAGAGGGUGACCGGCCACAUUGGGACUGAGAUACGGCCCAGACUCCUACGGGAGGCAGCAGUGGGGAAUAUUGCACAAUGGGCGGAAGCCUGAUGCAGAAACGCCGCGUGCGGGAUGACGGCCUUCGGGUUGUAAACCGCUUUCGCCUGUGACGAAGCGUGAGUGACGGUAAUGGGUAAAGAAGCACCGGCUAACUACGUG